GAUGAAGAACGUAGCGAAAUGCGAUACUUGGUGUGAAUUGCAGAAUCCCGUGAACCAUCGAGUCUUUGAACGCAAGUUGCGCCCGAAGCCAUUAGGCCGAGGGCACGCCUGCCUGGGCGUCACACGUCGUUGCCCCCCCAUCUACUCCUUCGGGAUUGCGGGGGGCGGAUGAUGGCCUCCCGUGCGCCUCGUCGCGCGGUUGGCAUAAAUGCCAAGUCCUCGGCGACGCACGCCACGACAAUCGGUGGUUGCGAAACCUCGGUUGCCCGUCGUGUGCGGUCGUCGCGCAUCGAGGGCUCGAAAAAAUUGCAGGGCUCCGGCUCGGCUUUCAACGCGACCCCAGGUCAGGCGGGGUUACCCGCUGAAUUUAAGCAUAUCAAUAAGCGGAGGA
rnacentral:misc_RNA from 1 species